CUGGCGCUUGUACUCGUGGAUGCGCUUGAUCUGGAUGUCGAACAUGGCGUCGGUGGACACCUUCACGCCGGUGGUCUCCUCGACCAUCUUAGCGCACAGAGCCUUGCGCUCCUGCUUGGCGGCGCGCCACUUCUUCUGGAGCUCGGGGUCCUUAGCGAGGGGGCCGAGCUUCUCGAGGAGCGCGGUGUCGGUGACCCACUCGUCGGUGCCAAUCGCCUCGGUGAUGACGGAGGAGAGCUGGGGGUUGCAGAACGCGAGCCAGCGGCGAGGGGUGACGCCGUUGGUCUUGUUCUGGAACUUCUCGGGCCAGAGCUCGCCG
rnacentral:lncRNA from 1 species